rnacentral:rRNA from 1 species
UACGUAGGGGGCUAGCGUUGUCCGGAAUCAUUGGGCGUAAAGAGCGUGUAGGCGGCCCGGUAAGUCCGCUGUGAAAGUCGGGGGCUCAACCCUCGAAUGCCGGUGGAUACUGUCGGGCUAGAGUGCGGAAGAGGCGACUGGAAUUCCUGGUGUAGCGGUGAAAUGCGCAGAUAUCAGGAGGAACACCGGUGGCGAAGGCGGGUCUCUGGGCAACAACUGACGCUGAGGAGCGAAAGCGUGGGGAGCGAACAGG